rnacentral:rRNA from 1 species
GAUGAACGCUGGCGGCGUGCUUAACACAUGCAAGUCGAACGAUGAAGCCCAGCUUGCUGGGUGGAUUAGUGGCGAACGGGUGAGUAACACGUGAGUAACCUGCCCUUAACUCUGGGAUAAGCCUGGGAAACUGGGUCUAAUACCGGAUAGGAGCGUCCACCGCAUGGUGGGUGUUGGAAAGAUUUAUCGUUUUUGGAUGGACUCGCGGCCUAUCAGCUUGUUUGUGAGGUAAUGGCUCACCAAGGCGACGCCGGGUAGCCGGCCUGAGAGGGUGACCGGCCACACUGGGACUGAGACACGGCCCAGACUCCUACGGGAGGCAGCAGUGGGGAAUAUUGCACAAUGGGCGGAAGCCUGAUGCAGCGACGCCGCGUGAGGGAUGACGGCCUUCGGGUUGUAAACCUCUUUCAGUAGGGAAGAAGCGAAAGUGACGGUACCUGCAGAAGAAGCACCGGCUAACUACGUG